CCUACGGGAGGCAGCAGUGGGGAAUAUUGCACAAUGGGGGGAACCCUGAUGCAGCGACGCCGCGUGAGUGAAGACGUAUUUAGGUAUGUAAAGCUCUAUCAGGCGGGGAGAAAAUGCCGGUACCUGAUUCAGAAGCCCCGGCUACCUACGUGGCAGCAUCCGCGGUCAUACGUCGGGGGGCAGCGGUAUCCGGAUUUACUGGGUGUUAAGGGAGAGUAGACGGCAGCACAAGGCUGGAGUGAAAUGCCGGGGCUUAAACCCGGAACUGCUUUGGAAACUGUGCAGCUAGAGUGCAUGAGAGGUAAGUGGAAUGCCUAGUGUAGCGGUGAAAUGCGUAGAUAUUAGGAGGAACACCAGUGGCGAAGGCGGCUUACUGGACUGUAACUGACGUUGAGGCUCGAAAGCGUGGGGAGCAAACAGGAUUAGAUACCCGUGUAGUC
rnacentral:rRNA from 1 species